UGGCUUUAUGACCUACACGGCACCCCGCCACUAGAGGGCGAUAGAAAUAUUGGCUUCACUCACCGUGACUCCCUUGCUAUCGGUCAUAUCGAUCACUGCUGUUAAGAAGACAAGCUGAUUUUCUGCUGGAUGGUGAAGAUGCAAACCAACAACGUUGUCAGAGUAAAGUUCAAAGACAGCAAGAAAUAUAUUUUCUCUUCACAACCAUUUCACACAUUUUUUGAAUGUGUUGUCAAGAAGUUUAAUCUUCCUACAAUGAAUGUCUUUGAUGACUUAAAGACAGAGGUUGAUGAGGAAUAAUAUCUGAUGACAUGACCAGACUUUGGUGUCCUAGAAAUCUUCAUCCCACAAAGCACAACAAGCCUUGAUGAUUAUUUAUCUAAUACUGAGGGCACGUCAGAGUCUGAUUGGACCGCAGUGUUGAUUAGAAAUCCUCCUGAAAAAAAUCAAGCCGAGGAACGUCAUCUAGUCCAGAUGAUCGAAAAUAUCCUAAAGGGCAGCCCUGGAGGCGGGAAGGUCAUAAAGGAAUACCCUCACACAAAGUCUUUCAGAUGGCCGCAGACGUGACAUGGUGAAAAUCUUGCUAGCACAUUUAACAAAGGAACAUAGAUCUUGCCCUUACCGAAGUUUGAAGGAAGAAUGUGCAAAAAGGGUAUUAUCUCCAUGUUCCCAUGCUUUGCUGACCCCAGGAGCAAGCUUAGUUAUGAGCAUUAUUACAAUGCAGAAGAUGGAAGUGGAUAUUUGGUGUGGAGAAUUAAAACUUUCCAAAAAGAAGCAUCAGAGGGAUGGAUAAAACGCCCACGGCAACCACAAACGGGUGCAUGAUUUGCAGAUUGAUGAAGAUUUUGGACUUCUAUUUGGUGAGGCGACCGCUGCAAAGUUGUUGGAGAAGUGGUCUACCAACAUAAAACCAAAGGUUAUUGCACAGACCCGUGGCCUCACACAGACUUGUAAGCAUCCAAAAUGCUGAAGCCACUGAAGUUGAAGAUGGUAACUAUUGUGCUAUACAAGUUAUGAUUCAUGAAGAAUGGCUUUGGAUCUAUAGUUUCAAUUGAAGUCACAAUGUUACCCAUCAGACAUGCAUUAUUCAUAUGCAGCACAGAUUUAAAGGAACAGUAUGUAGGAUUGUGGCCAAAACUGGUAUUGCAAUCACAAAACGUGUGGCUAAAACUGGUACUGCAAUCACACAGCUGGUGGCCAAUAUACCAAACGACAAUAUAAACAUCAGUUGAGGGCUGCAACUCCACUUUUUAAAUGACAAUAUCUUGGCCGGACCGCUGUUGUGAGUGAUAUGAGUAUUUGAAAUGAAAAUGAUUUCUUAAUGUCUAGUGACAUUUCAGGGCCAUUUAAUGAUUAAUUGAUAUAAAUUUCUUACAUACUGUUCCUUUAAGUAAAUAAUCAGAAUAAAAAUUACCGGUUUCUUUUAACAUUUCUACCUUGACCUUAGUGAUAUUAAAAUGAGGUCAUACAGUUAAACUUUAUUUACAACAUAUAAUCCAUGCUUUUGUUAUUUAGAGUCCCAAAUGAAAACAAUUUUAAACUGUAAAUCUUCAACUCGCGUACUAGGCCCUUGUGAAAACCCAUCUGAAAGUGCUCUAUUUUUACACACUAAUUUUGUACUUUAUUUUCAAAAAAAAUAUUCUUCUUUAGUACUUCUUAAAGAAAAUCUUAAGACCAUCUAAGUAUACGUGUCUGUACUAUUUUGAGACACCAUGAAUAUGAACUUAAAUGUGCUUAAAAUAUAUUUAAAAAAUGUAUUUAGGUACUGCUUGUAGUAAACUUAAACCCAUCUUUCAUACAAACAAGUGGUAAAUAAAUAAAUGUUUUAAAUAUAUUUUAGGCACAUUUUAGUUAAUAUUCAUGGUGUCUCAAAAAUCAUUUUUAAGUUUAUUAAGUACAAAAUUAGUGUGCGAAAAGAGAGCACUUUCAGUACAUUAUUGAAGUGUACUUCUUUUCAGCUGGGUUUUCACAAGGGCCUAGUACGUGAGUUGCAGAUUUACACUUUUAAAUUGUUUUAAUUUGGGACUCUGAUAACAAACGUAUGGUUUAUAUAUUGUAAAUUAAGUUUAAAGGGGACAUAUCAUGAAAAUCAGACUUUUUCCAUGUUUAAGUGCUAUGAUUGGGUCCCCAGUGCUUCUAUCAACAGAGAAAAUGUAAAAAAGAUCAACCCAGUAACUUAGUUUUGAUAAACCAUUCUUUGCAAGCAUGUGAAAAAAUAGCUCAUUGAAAUUUGGCUCCCCUUGUGAUGUAAGAAGGGGAUCUUAUUAUAAUAAUACCACCUCUUAAUCUGCACUAUUCAACCACUGCCAUUUAGUGCAGCUCAUUUGCAUUUAAAAGGACACACCCAACAACUGCAACUUUUUGUUACAACAUGUUACAAUAAAUUGUCUAUAUGGUAUUUUGAGCUAGAACUUCACAUACAUACUCUGGGACAGCAUACUCUGUUUCUGCUUUGUUUAUUGUACCAUAUUAUUUCAUGUAAUUCUUUAUCUCCUCUGUUGUAUUAUCACUAUUUAUAUUAUUUUAGUGUUGUUGUCAUGAAUUGUAAAAAUGCUGUUAAGAGGCUUGACAAAUAAAAUGUAUAAUAGAUGCUGUUUUUAGCAAGAUAAUAAAAUUUUACUGAAAUUACAGGUUUGUUUCAGACUGAUGUUUUUCAUUUUCGAGCUGUUUAAUGGUAAAACGUGAAUUUUGUAAUUCAGAAGAAUAACUCUGGACAGAGUUGGUUAUUUUUUGUAGUUCACUCAUAAUUGAUGAAAAACAGCUCAGGAGGGGAAGUAAAUUGUGGCAGAGUAAAUCUGAAAUUACUCUAAAUAGGGUUAAAUUGUUACGGAGUCAAUUUUUUUUAGCUCUGAACCGAGUAAAAUGGUACUAGAGUUGUUUUUAAAAAACACUACAUAGAGUCAAAUAUCAUAUGACAGAGUAAAAUUUUAACACUACAUUGAGCAUAAUUAACUCUAAAAAUACAACUCUAUCAAAAGAGUAACUUUUACUCUUUUUAGAGAGGGACCAAAUGUUAUCUGUUAUAGAGUAAAAUUUUCUUCAAAUUGAGUAAAUUUUACUCUGGCAAAUUUCCUGUGCAGAGAGCCAAAUGUCAACGACCUAUCUUUUCAUGUGCUUGUAGAGAAUGGUUUACCAAAACUAAGUUACUGAUGAUCUUUUUACAUUUUCUAGGUUUAUAGAAGCACUGGGGACCCAAUAAUAGCACUUAAACAUGGAAAAAGUCAGAUUUUCAUGCCAUGGCCCCUUUAUUAAAUAACAAGCACACCAAGCUUUGUGCCUCACUGAUUAUCAAGCAUUAAAAACACCCAUUGACAUGUGCCUAAAAAGCGUGUUUUACUUCAUGAGGUGCUGCAGAGCCCAAACACCCGCGUUGUGGAUCUGACUGACCGGACAAUGCUGUCUUGUAUCACUUUACAGGGGAUUGGAAGGAGAUUUUGAACAAUUUAAG